rnacentral:rRNA from 1 species
GGCGAGUGAAGAGGGAAGAGCUCAAAUUUGAAAGCUGGUACCUUCGGUAUCCGCGUUGUAACCUCGAGACACGUUUUCCGUGCGGCGCUAUGGACAAGUUCCUUGGAACAGGACAUCGUAGAGGGUGAAAAUCCCGUACUUGCCAUGGAUGUACCGUGCUUUGCGAUACGUGCUCUAAGAGUCGAGUUGUUUGGGAUUGCAGCUCAAAAUGGGUGGUAGACUCCAUCUAAAGCUAAAUAUCGGGGAGAGACCGAUAGCGAACAAGUACCGUGAGGGAAAGAUGAAAAGCACUUUGGAAAGAGAGUUAAAAGUACGUGAAAUUGUCGAAAGGGAAGCGCUUGAAGUCAGCCAUGCCGCUCAGGACUCAGCCUGGCUUUUGCUUGGUGUAUUUCCUGGGUAGCAAGUCAGCAUUGGUUUGGAUCGUCGGAGAAGCAUAGUCGGAAUGUGGCGCCCUCGGGCGUGUUAUAGCCUUCUAUUGGAUACGACGAUCUAGACCAAGGAACGCAGCGCGCCUUAUGGCGGGUCUUCGGACACCUUC